rnacentral:rRNA from 1 species
GACGAACGCUGGCGGCGUGCCUAAUACAUGCAAGUUGAGCGCUGAAGGUUGGUACUUGUACCGACUGGAUGAGCAGCGAACGGGUGAGUAACGCGUGGGGAAUCUGCCUUUGAGCGGGGGACAACAUUUGGAAACGAAUGCUAAUACCGCAUAAAAACUUUAAACACAAGUUUUAAGUUUGAAAGAUGCAAUUGCAUCACUCAAAGAUGAUCCGCGUUGUAUUAGCUAGUUGGUGAGGUAAAGGCUCACCAAGGCGAUGAUACAUAGCCGACCUGAGAGGGUGAUCGGCCACAUUGGGACUGAGACACGGCCCAAACUCCUACGGGAGGCAGCAGUAGGGAAUCUUCGGCAAUGGACGAAAGUCUGACCGAGCAACGCCGCGUGAGUGAAGAAGGUUUUCGGAUCGUAAAACUCUGUUGGUAGAGAAGAACGUUGGUGAGAGUGGAAAGCUCAUCAAGUGACGGUAACUACCCAGAAAGGGACGGACUAACUACGUGCCAGCAGCCGCGGU